GACGAACGCUGGCGGCGUGCCUAAUACAUGCAAGUCGAACGAGAGCACCCGGUGCUUGCACUGGUCAAUCUAGUGGCGAACGGGUGAGUAACACGUGGGUAACCUGCCCAUCAGAGGGGGAUAACAUCCGGAAACGGAUGCUAAAACCGCAUAGGUCUUCGAACCGCAUGGUUUGAAGAGGAAAAGAGGCGCAAGCUUCUGCUGAUGGAUGGACCCGCGGUGCAUUAGCUAGUUGGUGAGGUAACGGCUCACCAAGGCCGUGACGCAUAGCCGACCUGAGAGGGUGAUCGGCCACAUUGGGACUGAGACACGGCCCAAACUCCUACGGGAGGCAGCAGUAGGGAAUCUUCCGCAAUGGACGCAAGUCUGACGGAGCAACGCCGCGUGAGUGAAGAAGGUUUUCGGAUCGUAAAACUCUGUUGUUAGAGAAGAACAAGUGCUAGAGUAACUGUUAGCGCCUUGACGGUAUCUAACCAGAAAGCCACGGCUAACUACGUG
rnacentral:rRNA from 1 species